rnacentral:tRNA from 10 species
CGAAGAGGCCGGAGCCGGAGCCAGAGCCAGAGCCUGAGCAGGGUCUGAAAAAAGGACCGGCCGUUCAGGACUAGGCCCUGAACUACAACUUGCUCCUCAGGGGUCCGGGUCGGAAGUGACGACUUCAUUCACUGAGCAGCCAUUUCCGGUUCCCAGUGUGUCCGAAGUUCCUUCUGGGUGUCAGAAAAGACACAAAAACUGACAGGGCGGAACCGCGACACGGUGCCUGAUGAUAUCAAAAGGUCUCACGGCUCCGGAGGGACCCAGUCGCCCACAGCCGCCAGGGGCGCCGCCGGCUCCGAGCCCGUUGUCGAGAGCCGCUCGGCUGCUGGGGUCUGCCCUUCAGUCCUUCCAACUCUCCUCGGACCUAGAGUUCCGGGAUCUCACUGCGAUCUGGGCGAAUUCUUACGUAGAAUUCGAAAGGAUAUGGGGAAGGAAAAAAACAAAAACGGGAACCACUUUGUUUCCGCCCGGUUUCGAACCGGGGACCUUUCGCGAGGCAGAUUCAGACUCACCUCAGCCCCACUCUAUUGAGAAUUACUGAUUUUUAUUUUUACUUCUUGGGGGCUGAGUCUCGCUCUGUCGCCAGGCUGGAGUGCAGUCGUGCGCUUUCAGCUCAUUGCAACCUCCGUCUCCCGAGUUCAAGGAGUAGCUGGGACUACAGCUCAGCCUUCCGAGUAGCUGGGGCUACAGGCCCGCACCACCACGCCCAGCUAAUUUUUGUAUUUUUAUUUUUGUAUUUUUAGUAGAGACUGGGUUUUACCAUGUUGGCCAGGAUGGUCUCGAUCUUUGACCUCGUGAUCCGCCCGCCUCCCAAAGUGCUGGGAGCCAACGCUCCCGGCUUGAUUUUUAAAAAUCAAUAUAAGUAAUUUUUACAUGAAACAAGUGAGUUAUUUCAAAUGUCUUCUAAAUCUAGAAAGGUCUGAUGAAUUGGCAUAGGCACAGUUUUAAGAAUAAAUGUAAUUCUCCCUCCCCGACCUCCUGCCGAGUUCUCAUUUAAACCCUAAGGGCGGUUUGUUUACAUUUCAGAGAUGUAGUAGAUGCCCAGGUUAUUUUACCAGAUGCGCUACUGUUUCCUCUGGUAACAGGUGUUCCAAAUCGGAAAACAAACUAGUCCGUUAUGCUAAUUUGCAUAUUUGAAACAUGGAAAACCUCUCUUAAUUCGUUUGGUAUUUUGUAAAAAUAGAAACAUAUUUUUAUAUGGUAAUAAGUUAGUUAACUUUACCCGUAAGAGGAAUAGACGAAAGUGAACCUCCUAUGAUGACAAGUUACUUGACAACACUAACUUGUCAACGUUCUUACUUGUCAAGGGCUCCCUAAUGACAUUGCCCCGCGGUUUUCAAGACUGACUUCAGGAUCAUCUGGGAGAGGUUGAAAGGCACAUGCAGUGUUCACCGCCUUGAACUGAAGAUCACUGAACAUGGCUUUGGUGGAAACCACUGCAGUGAUAUCAGAAAGGAAAAAAGCAAACUUCCCUGACCGGGAAUCGAACCCGGGCCGCGGCGGUGAAAGCGCCGAAUCCUAGCCACUAGACCACCAGGGAGGGCUGGUGACACUGUGGGCAGCACCUUCUGAGAAAAGAUCUUAGGACAGACGCCUCAACCACCUCAGGCACAUGUUAGAAACCUAUAGGAAUGUCUUUUUCUCCCUCUCCCUCUCCCCACGGUCUCCCUCUCCCUCUCUCCACGGUCUCCCUCUGAUGCGGAGCUGAAGCUGGACGGUACUGCUGCCUGAUUCUCCUGCCUCAGCCUGCCGACUGCCUGCGAUUGCAGGCGCGCGCCGCCACGCCUGACUGGUUUUCGUAUUUUUUUGGUGGAGACGGGGUUUCGCUGUGUUGGCCGGGCUGGUCUCCAGCUCCUAACCGCGAGUGAUCCACCAGCCUCGGCAUCCUGAGGUGCCGGGAUUGCAGACGGAGUCUCGUUCACUCCGUGCUCAAUGGUGCCCAGGCUGGAGUGCAGUGGCGUGAUCUCGGCUCGCUACAACCUUCACCUCCCAGCAGCCUGCCUUGGCCUCCCAAAGUGCCGAGAUUGCAGCCUCUGCCCGGCCGCCACCCCGUCUGGGAAGUGAGGAGCGUCUCUGCCCGGCCGCCCAUCGUCUGGGAUGUGAGGAGCCCCUCUGCCUGGCUGCCCAGUCUGGAAAGUGAGGAGCGUCUCUGCCCGGCCGCCCGUCGUCUGGGAUGUGAGGAGCCCCUCUGCCUGGCUGCCCAGUCUGGAAAGUGAGGAGCGUCUCUGCCCGGCCGCCAUCCCAUCUAGGAAGUGAGGAGCGCCUCUUCCCGGCCGCCAUCCCAUCUGGGAAGUGAGGAGAGUCUCUGCCCGGCCGCCCAUCGUCUGAGAUGUGGGGAGCACCUCUGCCCUGCCGCCCCGUCCGGGAUGUGAGGAGCGUCUCUGCCCGGCCGCCCCGUCUGAGAAGUGAGGAGACCCUCUGCCUGGCAACCGCCCCGUCUGAGAAGUGAGGAGCCCCUCCGCCCGGCAACCACCCCGUCUGAGAAGUGAGGAGCCCCUCCGCCCGGCAGCCGCGCCGUCUGAGAAGUGAGAAGCCCCUCCGCCCAGCAGCCACCCCGUCUGGGAAGUGAGGAGCGUCUCUGCCCGGCCGCCCCUACUGGGAAGUGAGGAGCCCCUCUGCCCGGCCAGCCGCUCCGUCCAGGAGGGAGGUGGGGGGGUCAGCCCCCCGCCCGGCCAGCCGCCCCGUCCGGGAGGGAGGUGGGGGGGGUCAGCCCCCCGCCCAGCCAGCCGCCCCGUCCGGGAGGGAGGUGGGGGGGGUCAGCCCCCCACCUGGCCAGCCGCCCCGUCCGGGAGGUGAGGGGCGCCUCUGCCCGGCCGCCCCUACUGGGAAGUGAGGAGCCCCUCUGCCUGGCCGGCCGCCCCGUCCGGGAGGGAGGUGGGGGGGUCAGCCCCCCACCCGGCCAGCCGCCCCGUCCGGGAGGUGAGGGGCGCCUCUGCCCGGCCGCCCCUACUGGGAAGUGAGGAGCCCCUCUGCCCGGCCAGCCGCUCCGUCCAGGAGGGAGGUGGGGGGGUCAGCCCCCGCCCGGCCAGCCGCCCCGUCCGGGAGGGAGGUGGGGGGGUCAGCCCCCCACCCGGCCAGCCGCCCCGUCCGGGAGGUGAGGGGCGCCUCUGCCCGGCCGCCCCUACUGGGAAGUGAGGAGCCCCUCUGCCCGGCCACCACCCCGUCUGGGAGGUGUACCCAACAGCUCAUUGAGAACGGGCCAUGAUGACAAUGGCGGUUUUGUGGAAUAGAAAGGGGGGAAAGGUGGGGAAAAGAUUGAGAAAUCGGAUGGUUGCCGUGUCUGUGUAGAAAGAGGUAGACGUGGGAGACUUUUCAUUUUGUUCUGUACUAAGAAAAAUUCUUCUGCCUUGGGAUGCUGUUGAUCUGUGACCUUACCCCCAACCCUGUGCUAUCUGAAACAUGUGCUGUAUCCACUCAGGGUUGAAUGGAUUAAGGGCGGUGCAAGAUGUGCUUUGUUAAACAGAUGCUUGAAGGCAGCAUGCUCCUUAAGAGUCAUCACCACUCCCUAAUCUCAAGUACCCAGGGACACAAACACUGCGGAAGGCCGCAGGGUCCUCUGCCUAGGAAAACCAGAGACCUUUGUUCACUUGUUUAUCUGCUGACCUUCCCUCCACUAUUGUCCUGUGACCUUGCCAAAUCCCCCUCUGCGAGAAACACCCAAGAAUGAUCAAUUAAAAAAAAAAAAAAAAGAAACCUAUAGGAAUGUCUUUAAGAAUAUUUUGCAAUGAUGUGUAUAGUACUGGAUGCAGUGACUGCUGCCUGGGCCAGAGGGUGGCAGAAGGCUUUAGGGGCAGAAACGUUGGAAGAAAGAUUGUCAUAAGUCAAGCUGGGGAAGAGAAAAAUAUUUCCCAAAUCAUUUUUGUCACGGACUCCCUCUGACAUGGGAGUUUCUCAUCUCCCUUCCUGCCUCCCUCCCUUUUUCUUUCUUCCUCCUAAAAUCUGCAUCUCCUUCACUUAUAUAGUUUCCCCACGGUUGAUUGAGAAAAAAUGUGUCUUUUUGCCCCCCUCCCCAAAGGAUCCUAUUCCUGAUCUCUAAAUAUGCCCCUCACCAGUGCAGAGGGAGGAGCAGUCAGAGCCUGGGAGACUUGCCUACCUGGAGCUGCACCCAUCUUUGAGGCCUUGCUCUGUUUCCUGGAACCUGAAAUGGAUUUACCUAUUCUACACAUUUCAUAGAAAUGAAAUCACAUAAUGUGUCACAUUUUGUCUGGCUUCUCUCACUUGGCAUAAUAUUUUUGGGUUCAUUCAUGUCAUAGUAUGUACUUCAUUUCUUCUUAUGGCUAAAUAACAUUUUAUGUAUAUACCACAUUUCCUUUAUCCAUUCAUC